rnacentral:rRNA from 1 species
UACGUAGGGUGCAAGCGUUGUCCGGAAUUAUUGGGCGUAAAGAGCUCGUAGGCGGUUUGUCGCGUCUGCUGUGAAAACCCGAGGCUCAACCUCGGGCCUGCAGUGGGUACGGGCAGACUAGAGGUAGGUAGGGGAGAAUGGAAUUCCCGGUGUAGCGGUGAAAUGCGCAGAUAUCGGGAGGAACACCGGUGGCGAAGGCGGUUCUCUGGGCCUUACCUGACGCUGAGGAGCGAAAGCGUGGGGAGCGAACAGG